ACCUGGUUGAUCCUGCCAGUAGUCAUAUGCUUGUCUCAAAGCUUAAGCCAUGCAAGUGUAAGUUCAUGCCGUAAACGAAUGGUGAAACCGCGAAUGGCUCAGGAACCGGACCUAAUCCUCGGGACCGUAUUCCUCACCGCGAGGAGAGUGGAUAACUGUGGCAAUUCUAGAGCUAAUACAUGCAAUCGAAGCCGCGAUCGCGGGUCGGGUUAAACCUUCGCGGUUUCUCGGCCUUUUUCCGCACCGGUCGCGGCGCAAAUAUUAGACUGAGACCGACGGCGUUACGAGCCGCAACGCGCGUGCGUGCGUUCGCGUGCGCACCUCCGCAGCGGUGUUCGGCGCUUUUCCCUUCGAUUUUGGUGACUCUGGAUAACUGUCAGUACGAUCGCACGGGCCGGGAUCGCACCCGGCCUUCGCGCGACGGGUCCCCCGCGAGUCCGCCCUAUCAACUGUCGACGGCCCGGUAAGUGCCGACCGUGGUAGCAACGGGUGACGGGGAAUCAGGGUUCGAUUCCGGAGAGGGAGCAUGCGAAACGGCUACCACAUCCAAGGAAGGCAGCAGGCGCGCAAAUUACCCACUCCCGGCACGGGGAGGUAGUGACGAAAAAUAACGACGCGGGACUCUGUCGAGGCCCCGCGAUCGGAAUGAGUACACUUCAAAUCCGUUAACGAGGAUCGACCGGAGGGCAAGUCUGGUGCCAGCAGCCGCGGUAAUUCCAGCUCCGGUAGCGUAUAUUAAAAUUGUUGCGUUUGAAAAGCUCGUAGUCGGAAUUCGGGUCUCGAAAGCGUGCGCAAGCACGUUCGGGGCGGCGGCGCCGUGGCCGGGUUCGCGUUCGCUUCGUAGGAAGCGGCGCGUUUGGGGYGGUCUUGUCGAACGGGUCGGUCUGGUUUCGGUUCUAGGGGCGUUCGCGUUUCGCAUUUCUCUUUUCUCGGGGCCGGCGUCGUCGCGCUCGCGCGCGGCGUCGGUUUUUCGGGGGGAGAAGCGCGCGUCCGUUUUCCGGCCGUGUCACAACCUCCGCAUCCCACAGUUCGCUGCCGUCCACCGCUUCGGUCGUCCGUUCGCACUCCCGGCCCUAUUCGCCGGUGCGUGCACGGUUUCGGGCCGUCGAGCUCUGAGGUUUUCUAGAAAAGAAAAGAAAAGUCGGCGAAUUGCGGUCGUUUCCGUCCUUUCCCGCUUUAUUUUUUUUUUUUUGCUUCAUCUCGCGGUUCGUCGAGCGUCGUUCGAGCGGCGUUUACCUUCGCGGUGGUCGUUCGUCGGCGCCGGCGACGCAAGCCGACCGGCACGGUUCCUCCGAGGGUGCUCUUCACCGAGUGUCCGAGGCGGCCGGUACGUUCACUGUGAAAAAAUUAGAGUGCUCAGAGCGAGCCCCGACUGGCUUGCAUACGAAAAGCAUGGAAUGAUGGAAAAUGGCCUCGUCCGCGCGUCAUCCGUCGGUCUCCGUUCACGACGAGGCAAUGAUCGAAGGGAGCGAUCGGGGCCACUCGUAUUGCGACGUUAGAGGUGAAAUUCUUGGAUCGUCGCAAGACGCACUGCAGCGACGGCGUGUGGCAAGCACGUUUUCCUCGAUCAAGAGCGAAAGUCGGAGGUUCGAAGACGAUCAGAUACCGUCGUAGUUCCGACCGUAAACGAUGCCGACUGGCGCUCCGCCGGCGUUCGCUUCGAUGACCCGGCGGGGAGCCUGCGCGGGAAACCAUAGUCGGUUCCGGGGGGAGUAUGGUUGCAAAACAGAAACUUAAAGGAAUUGACGGAAGGGCACCACCAGGAGUGGAGCCUGCGGCUUAAUUUGACUCAACACGGGAAAACUCACCCGGUCCGGACACCGGUAGGAUUGACAGAUCGAUAGCUCUUUCUCGAUUCGGUGGGUGGUGGUGCAUGGCCGUUCUUAGUUGGUGGAGCGAUCCGUCUGGUUGAUUCCGAUAACGAACGAGACUCCGGCCUGCUAACUAGCGCGUCGAUUAGUGCUUUUCCGGUAGCGCGGCGGCGCUGAAGCCGUCGUCGGUGCUUCUUUCCGAGGUUCGCGUGGCGUCGUUUCGUGCCGGUCGCUUGCUAGCGGUCGUCGUUUCGGCGGCGAUUGCCGGCUUCGGCUGUCGCGAGACAUCGUUCGCGCGCUGCCGAAGAUUGCGGUUCGGCGGCGGCACGUCGUCGCGUCCGGGCCAGUCGGUUGGCGUAAGCAGCGCUUCUUAGAGGGACGGGCGGCAGAAAGCCGCACGAGGCGGAGCGAUAACAGGUCUGUGAUGCCCUUAGAUGUCCGGGGCCGCACGCGCGCUACACUGGAGGUAUCAGCGGGCGCGUAUCCCCCGGCCCGAGAGGGCCGGGAAACCUCUGAACCACCUCCCGUGAUAGGGAUCGGGGCCUGGAACCAACCCCGUGAACGAGGAAUUCCCGGUAGGCGCGGGUCAUCAGCCCGCGUCGAUCACGUCCCUGCCCUUUGUACACACCGCCCGUCGCUACUACCGAUCGAACGGUCCGGUGAGGUCCUCGGAUCUGGCCGACGAGUUCGCAGGCUGCGUGGCGUGUUGCGGGUUUACUCGUAGUGCGUCCGUGGUGCGCUCUCUGAUGGCCCGGAGAAGACGACCGAACCCGAUCGCUUAGAGGAAGUAAAAGUCGUAACAAGGUUUCCGUAGGUGAACCUGCGGAAGGAUCAUUA
rnacentral:rRNA from 1 species